rnacentral:rRNA from 1 species
GACGAACGCUGGCGGCGUGCUUAACACAUGCAAGUCGAACGGAAAGGCCCUGCUUUUGUGGGGUGCUCGAGUGGCGAACGGGUGAGUAACACGUGAGUAACCUGCCCUUGACUUUGGGAUAACUUCAGGAAACUGGGGCUAAUACCGGAUAGGAGCUCCUGCUGCAUGGUGGGGGUUGGAAAGUUUCGGCGGUUGGGGAUGGACUCGCGGCUUAUCCGCUUGUUGGUGGGGUAGUGGCUUACCAAGGCUUUGACGGGUAGCCGGCCUGAGAGGGUGACCGGCCACAUUGGGACUGAGAUACGGCCCAGCCUCGUACGGUAGGCAGCAGUGGGGAAUAUUGCACAAUGGGCGGAAGCCUGAUGCAGCAACGCCGCGUGCGGGAUGACGGCCUUCGGGUUGUAAACCGCUUUCGCCUGUGACGAAGCGUGAGUGACGGUAAUGGGUAAAGAAGCACCGGCUAACUACGUG